AGCGGUCGGCGGCCGGCGGCGGGAGAUCGCGGGCGAGCGGAGCGCAACACUCGCUUGGUUGGGGAGAUCGGCGCUUGGCCG
rnacentral:misc_RNA from 1 species